rnacentral:lncRNA from 1 species
GGCCGGCUUUCGGCUGCAGUGCGGACACGGUGCUGCGGUGCCAGACGGAGCCGAGCAGAGUGGACAGGCCAGGAUCGAGGGCAGUGGGGGAUCACACGCCCAGAUGUGACCCUUCUCAGAGGGCAGGAUGGUGCUGGACUCGGGGACCCAGGCCUAUGAGCAGGCACCCCCUUCCCUCUCUGUCAGCCCUCCAACUGUUUCUGGGGUGGGGAAGAUCUCAAAGCAGAAUGGGCCACAACUGUACCCCUCUAUCCAGCCACCAAUAUCAGCCCCUAGCUCCCAGAAGCCCUCCCUAGUCAUCCCAGUACAUCCUAGAUCCUCUGUGUCCCAACCGGCAGGCCUGGCCUCUUCCCGCCCCAAGGUCCCAAGUCCCACGUCUGAAAUAAGACGACUCUCAUUGGCCUCACUGGGUCGUGGUCGGAUUCGGCGCAGUGAGAGUUCCUGCUCCGUCGGAGGGUCCAGCAGAAAGGGACGCCUCCGGCCCGCCUCCUCCCUGCCCCACAUUGCUAAAUGCAAGGUAGAGGAAAGCCGGGCAGCCAGCAAGAGCCCCUGCCUGCUGGUAGCCUUAAGACCCAACAACCUGGAGCAAGAGCGAGCCCGGUUCUUUCAAUCAAGGUACACCUACAACCCGCAGUUUGAGUAUGAGGAGCCAGUUCCAGCUGCCGUGUUGGAAAAGUACAACGAGGCCUCAGACAAGUUCAUCCCCCAGGCGGUGGGGAUCAUUGAAGCAGUCCUGGAGAAGUAUGGGACCUACGAGCAGUUUGAGGCGAUCACGGGAGGCCAGCUGCUGACGAAGUGCCAGAUCUGGUCCAUCGUCCGCAAAUACAUGCAGAAGGAAGGCUGCUCUGGAGAGGUGGUGGUGCAGCUGAGUGAGGACCUGCUGUCCCAAGCAGUGAUGAUGGUGGAGAACAGCCGGCCCACGCUGGCCAUCAACCUGACUGGGGCCCGCCAGUACUGGCUGGAGGGCAUGUUGCGGCAUGAGAUAGAGGCACCCAUUAUCUUCGAUUUGUCAAUAACACUCGGCAGCCCUGGAACACCUCUGAUGGCCGGCGGCAGUAUGGGCUCCGGCCUGCCAACCCCACUGAGGAGGGGCUGGCCAGCCUGCACAGCGUGCUUUUCCGCAAACAGCCGUUCCUGUGGCGGGCAGCCCUGCUGUACUACACCAUCCAGAGGGCGGCCCUGA